UCUGCCCACACCGCCACCAGGCGGCGCCUCCGGGAAACUGCACCCAGGCUUGUGUUGUGCUUUAAACAUCGUUUCUGGCUCAUUUCUCCAGGCACUUGAACCUUGUAUCAACCGUGGGAAAGUUCAGCGUCUGAACCACCUCACCACCUGCUGGCCCCUGCAUUUACAUCAUCUUCACUGGUCUGUUUCACUUAAAGCAGAACAAGUUUCUGGAUCAAGUUUACCCACCACUAACUCAGAUGGAAGCAAUCCAAACCAGAAGUUGAAACUGCUUGGUUAACCUGAGCUAUUCCGGUUCCGGAUUGGCCAGUCCAGAACCCCGUAGGUGUGGUCAAAGGCUGGUGAGGCGGGGCUUAAGCGCUUUUAAUCAGGCAUUGGCGUGGUCGGCCUUGCGAUCCUGGCCACGCCCUCACGCCGGCGCCGCUCGGGGUCCUUCCGUACGCGUUGAUAUGAUUGGCCGGAGGGUAGCGGUUCUCUUUUCGUCCCUGGCUGCUUGAGGAUAUACCGCCAUCAUGAAUGACACAGUAACUAUCCGAACCAGGAAAUUCAUGACCAACCGACUACUUCAGAGGAAACAAAUGGUAAGGAGGAGCACGUCAAAAAUUAAAUUGUCUUUUAAAAAUGUAUUUUGUGGUGAUAGGCACUAAAGUUCUUCUCUCUUUUAGGUCAUUGAUGUCCUUCACCCCGGGAAG